rnacentral:rRNA from 1 species
CCCUGCAGUUCUCGCCUGGUUUCCCCACUUAAGCUAAGCAAGAUUGAGCCUGGCCAGAACCUGGAUGUGAGACCUCCUGGGGAAAACUAAGGUUGCUGCUGGAA